CUACGGGUUGCUGCAGUGGGGAAUAUUGCACAAUGGACGAAAGUCUGAUGCAGCAACGCCGCGUGGAGGAUGACACGUUUCGGUGCGUAAACUCCUUUUAUAUAGGAAGAUAAUGACGGUACUAUAUGAAUAAGCGCCGGCUAACUCCGUGCCAGCAGCCGCGGUAAUACGGAGGGCGCAAGCGUUACUCGGAAUCACUGGGCGUAAAGAGCGUGUAGGCGGGUUAAUAAGUCAGAAGUGAAAUCCAAUAGCUCAACUAUUGAACUGCUUUUGAAACUGUUAACCUAGAAUAUGGGAGAGGUAGAUGGAAUUUCUGGUGUAGGGGUAAAAUCCGUAGAGAUCAGAAGGAAUACCGAUUGCGAAGGCGAUCUACUGGAACAUUAUUGACGCUGAGACGCGAAAGCGUGGGGAGCAAACAGGAUUAGAUACCCCGGUAGUC
rnacentral:rRNA from 1 species